GCUGUAGCUCAUUGGUGGAGCAUCAGUUUCUCACACAGGUGGUCCCAGGUUCAAUACCUGGUAUCUCCA